GUCUUGCCGGCACUCAUAAGACACUGCCUCUGCUCACGUGUGAAACGAUUCUGACGGAAGGGCUUGUGGCAGGUAGGACCUCCCUAAGGUCUGUGCUCCAGGUUGCUGGAGGGAGCAGAGAUGGGAUAAGCAGCUACAAUUGCCACAAUCCAUUUACUGCCCCCUAGAUUCUGGGCAGGUGCGAGAGGAAUGGAAAGUGGCAAUAUGGUGCACGUAUUGAAGAAAGGAUGUGAGGACAUUCUUCACAAACGCAGGGUGUCAGUUUAACGUUAACGUCCUGAUGAAGGGUCUCAGCCCAAAACAUGGGCACUUUAUUCCUUUCCACAGAUGCUCCCUGGCCUGCUGAGUUCCUCCAGCAAUUUGUGUGUCCAAAUGCUGCAUUAAGACAUCGAUUCACGACAGCUUUGCUACUGCAGACAGCUACGCAGAAGGCCAACAGUCAGCGUUCAUCCCUCAACCAGCCAGCACACGCGUUCAUGCUUUGGCCAGUGGAGUUGGUGCAGUAGGAUGCUGUCACAAGCAAGAUGGAAGGCACAUGCUCGACAUUUCAGGACCGGCUUCUUUCCCUUCACCAUCAGAUUUCUGAAUGGUCCAUGAAUCCUCACAAUUUUGCUCUCUUCUGGUACCACCGAUUUACAUUUGUAAAAUAUUUCUUAUUGUAACUUAUAGUAUGUUUACGUAUUCCACUGUAUAGCUGCUACAAAACAAAACAAAAAUCACGACAUGUAUCAGUAAUAAUAAACCUGAUUCUGAAGCAGCGGCUAACCCAUUGAAACGUAAUUUAGUCAGGGUCCUGACUGUUGUGUGUUUAAUAUUUAAGUAAUAUUUCAGUAAUCCUGUAAAUAUAUUGUUGAUUAUGCAUUCUUCCUUGUUUAAAAUAAUUCAUUAUGGGUAAUAUGUAUAAAUACGUGAAUUGCAUACGUCAUCAUGCUACCAGGUGAUUCAUGCGUGCCUUGCUUAAAGUAAACUCGAAGUUAGA